CAUCUAUUACCUCACUAUCUACUAUCAUCUAUUCCCCAGCCCUCAUUAUCUACUAACAUCUAUUACCUCACUAUCUACUACAUCUAUUCCCCACAGCCCUCAUUAUCUACUAACAUCUAUUCCCCACAGCCCUCAUUAUCUACUAACAUCUAUUACCUCACUAUCUACUACAUCUAUUCCCCACAGCCCUCAUUAUCUACUAACAUCUUUACCUCACUAUCUACUAACAUCUAUUCCCCCAGCCCUCACUAUCUACUAACAUCUAUUACUCACUAUCUACUACAUCUAUUACCUCACAUCUAUUCCCCAGCCCCCACUACUUCUACAACAUCUAUUACUCCACUAUCUACUAACAUCUAUUCCCGCAGCCCUCACUAUCUACUAACAUCUAUUACCUCAUCUGCUCAAUCUUUUACCUCCCUAUCUACUAACAAUCAAAUACCUCACUAUCUACUAACAUCUAUUCCCCCAGCCCUCAUUAUCCAGUUUAACAUAUUAUUUAUUUACCAAACUGUUCAAGAAGCAGACUAGUAUGAAUGAUAGAGACAAAUAUAAUUGUCAACUGCAGUGAAACUGUUAUAAUGUUUUACAUUUCUCUGUUACCUCUAAUCCAGCCCGUCACACCCUACU
rnacentral:lncRNA from 1 species